CACGUUUAUUGCAGCACUGUUUACAAUAGCAAAGACAUGGAACCAACCCAAAUGCCCAUCAAUGAUAGACUGGAUAAAGAAAAUGUAGUACAUAUGCACCAUGGAAUACUAUGCAGCCACAAAAAGGAAUGAGAUCAUGUCCUUUCCAGGGACGUGGAUGAAGCUGGAAGCCAUCACCUUCAAAAAACUAACAUAGGAACAGAAAACCAAACACUGCAUAUUCUCACUAAGACGGGGUUUCGCCAUGUGGUCUAGUCUGGUCUUGAACUCCUGAGCUCAAGCAAUCUGCCCGCCUCAGCCUCCCAAAGUGCUGGGAUUACAGAUGUGAGCCACCAUGCCCAGCCUAUUCUUGUCAUAUUCUAAAUUGUGCUCUAGAUGUGUAAGAUACAUGGUCUCAGCCAAGCACUUAAUGACAUUUUUGGUAGUUGCUGGGUUGUCCAGCGGCCUCCUUAGCCCAGAACUUCAUCACAGGUGUUUGUUUUUUGUUUUUUUUUUUUUUUUUGAGAUGAAGCUACUUUGUUCCCUUUACUUCAAAGGCACAGAUCUUAUUCUCUAAGUGCCCCUAAGGAGUUUCACCAGUAGGGCUGGAAGCAGUUGGGUUUUUCUCUCAGCAACCCCUGUACCUCUAAUGCAGAAAGGGUUACCUGUUCCCACCAAAACUUUCAGCAGCCUUCAGGCCUGCAGCUUUUUUCCGUGAGUCCCUCCUUCCCUUCUAUCCUAAAGGCUUCAUGCAUUUUUUUUGCUGCUGAUCCUCACCCCAAAUACAACUGAUGUAAAUAGCCAAUUCAAAGCUGCCAUUUGUAGUCCCCUUUUUUCUCCCCAUGUUACUUGGUGGCUCCUAGUGCCAAUUAGUACGGCAAAGUGGCGGGAUAUGUCUACGUAAACACAUGAAGAUGUCAGUGUUGCUGAAGGAGUAUGCCAAACUGUUUCAGGAUAUUUUUCAGAAAAGACUCUGAAAGGCAUAUGUUAUCAUUUAGUCAGAUGGUGGCAAACCCUUAUUAAAUGUAUCAACACUUUUAUCAGGUCACAAUAUUUUCCCAAUCAUCUUCCCUGCAAGAAGAAACAAAUCUCGAUUACUUGGGAACAGCAAUUCAUUUUCUCCUUAUCCUCCUUUUUUUCUAUUAUGUGACUUUCAGGUCUACCACUGAUCUGCAACAUAACUUUCCUUAUAGGCAGGAAACCAGCAAACUGGGUAGGCACCAGGUCAGUCAAUUGUUCUUAUGUCUAAAGGUUUGAUGGAAUGAGGGGAAGCCACAAUAUGCCACCUCAGAAUAUACUUCUUUGGCAUAUUUCAAGUUGAUUAUUCUGAGAACUGCAGGCAGGAAUAGCUCUGAAAAGCUGUCCAUUUCUAAAGGAAAUUUACAUCUAUCCACCUUACUAAACAGAGGAUGCAAGCAGAGGUUUCUCUCUGAAGGCCCUUUAUCUGCCUAAAGAAAGAUAAAGCUCUGACACCUCCCUAAAACAGAGACUACCACAGGCAGUCACCUAUUCUUCUGAUAGCUGUUGCCUAAGAGAUUUCAUUUGCACAAGACAGCCUUUGCUUACCAUGCAAAGUUGCUCACCAUCCAUCUAGGCAGAGUGGGGCAAGCCAAGCAGCAUUCAUCAAGUGGAAGUGGAGCUUAUGGGAUCUGAAGCAGCAGUCCCUAAAGGCCCGUCCACACAAACUACAUACGUAAGUUGCUCAUACUUCCAGCAUGUCCACUUGUUAUAAUAUUGCCCUUCAUUUAGUAUAUACCCAACACCCAACAUAUUUCAAUGUCAGGGCUUCAAGUAACCACCUGGUCAUUUGUCAGAUUUUGUUUGUCUAACAGUCUUUCCCACAAUUUCCUUUGAAUAAAUUACCUCUCCUUUCACAUUUAGUCUUGAUGAAUCAGUAAACCCAGCUGCUUUGCCUCAAACCAUUUAAGCCGAAGUAGUUCCUGUAGAGUCCUCUCAAAGCUCCAAGACUGCCAGGGGUGAUUUCUGACCUAGGUUUGCACACUCACGUCCAGGCAUUUAAAUCUUGAAUGGGCAUUUUAAGCAGCUGGAGUUAAUUUAAUCCAUGAUGAAUAAAAGCAAGAUUAUUGAGCAAUUUCUGCUUAAAAAAAUCUUCGGGAGCUAAGUUUCUAUCCUGAGUCUGGUUCUUUAGCUUCCGUUUGAUCUUAUAUCCUUCAAAUAAAUUCUUUAUUGCUUAGGUUAGCUAGAGUUGGUUGCUACAAACAGAAUCCUAACUGGUAUUCUUUGUAAGUCUAUGACUAUGGCCUAACAGAUGACCCUCAUCUCCCUUAGACAUGACUGCAAGUGAUUUUGUUUUACUGGAUAUAGCCAAUCCCCUAUUUGAGUUAUCUUGGCCAUUCUUUGAAUUUCUGGAAACUGUGUAUUUUCAGAACAGUGAGAUAUACACCACUGUGUUCUAGUUUCAGUUCCAAAUUUGCAUGUCAGUAACUUAUUUCAAUGUUUUGGCUUUAGGGUUUUUUUUUUUUUUUUUUGUAGAGACAGGGUCUCACUAUGUCACCCAGUCUGGAGUGCAAUGGCACAAUAUCAGUUCACUGCAAUUUUCACCUCCUAGGCUCAAGUGAUCCUCCCCAGCAGCUGGGACUACAGGUGCACUUGGCUUUAGUUUUACAACUGAAUUGUCAUGGUUUACAAACCUGUGUCCCUGAUGCAUCCCACACCCAAUACUAACAUUCACUGUUACCUAUUUUAAAAGCACAAAAGCUAGUAUUUGAAAGUAUUCUCAUGCAGGUUUAUGACUGUAAAUAUUAGACGAUUACAAAAAUAUAAUCCCACUUCAGUGUUUUAGUAAUGAGACCCUUAUCGGCCAUUAAUAAAUAGUAUAAAUUUUACACCAGGGUAACUGGGAUGUUUUCUGUUUCUUCUCACAUUGCUAAGUGGUUUUAGGUUUGAUAUCAUCUGCACACAGCAUCUGUGUCAUAUAUGACAAUCACAUUUUAGUCAAUUAUGUUAGAAGCUCAUAUUUAAUAAGGUUCAAGUUCUCCUCAAUAUGAUUUUCAUUAACAUCAUGAUUUAGGCAGAAUGUUUUCCUAUACAUGUAAAUAAAGAGAACUUUAGCUUUAAAAAAAAGAUUAGAG
rnacentral:lncRNA from 1 species